UUGGGGUGCUCGAGUGGCGAACGGGUGAGUAACACGUGAGUAACCUGCCCUUGACUUUGGGAUAACUUCAGGAAACUGGGGCUAAUACCGGAUAGGAGCUCCUGCCGCAUGGUGGGGGUUGGAAAGUUUCGGCGGUUGGGGAUGGACUCGCGGCUUAUCAGCUUGUUGGUGGGGUAGUGGCUUACCAAGGCUUUGACGGGUAGCCGGCCUGAGAGGGUGACCGGCCACAUUGGGACUGAGAUACGGCCCAG
rnacentral:rRNA from 1 species